UCAGACCUCUAAUCCCUUCUUUGUUGUCAAGUGCGUCUGAACAGGAGAGCAUGAGCUCGUGUAAGGAGCUGGGGCACUCAGACGGGCAGGGCAUCCUGUAGCCGCGCUCCACCUGGUCCAGCACUUCACGGUUAACCAUACCUGAGCAGAGAAACCAGGAGUUAGAUUUAGGUCUUGUUAAGUCCUUACCUGGAUAGGGGACUCGGCCUUUAGUUGCCAGCUCUGUGAGCAGCACACCAAAGGACCAGACGUCAGACUUGAUGGUGAAUCGACCGUACAGAGCUGCCUCCGGUGCCGUCCACUUGAUGGGAAACUUAGCUCCUAGAGAACCAAAGAGAUGAGACAGCUGAAGAGAAACAGGAAAUGUGGGGAGAAGCGGCAUGCAGCAAAUGGUCGAGGCCAGGAGUCGAACCCGCGACCCCUGCAACAAGGUCUACAGCCUCUACAUGGGACUUCUCCAAAGCAGCCCUGUCCUAGUUUGAGGUCGAGGCGGAGGGACUCUCUGGGAAUCUCCCAGGCGUCUCUGGCCAGUCCCUGGGUCUGAGGUUUGGCCACAGGACACACAUCUGUCAGAGCGUGGCACAAACCAUCAGAGUGCUCUGAAAAACAAGAAGGUUCCUCGUCUGUUCUGCAAGUUCAAAAGAAGCCUCUCUGAGUCGCGCCGAGUGAUCUUCCCAAAAUACCACCUGCCAAAGUGGGCCACAGAGAAUGAGAUCAGUGUGAAGCUACUACUGAGCGUCUGGAGCAGGCAGGAAGACUUUUUCACUUGAAAUAUAGAAGGCUACACAUGAAGGUAUAUCAGAACAUACUGUCUCUAUAUACUCUAUGUUAGCUCCUAGAAAUAGAAAUGGCAUUGAGUACAGUGUUACAUUCAGGCUCUGCACAAAGAAAAACAGCCUUAAAGAAUGGAGGGAAACAAGGAGAUGAUUAUGUACUCUUCUGCUUGGAUGGAGUCAGAAGGAGCCACGUAGUUGCUCGGGAUGUAUCCGCUCUCUCCUGUCGUUAAUGAGCGAGCGAGCCACCAGUCUCCUUCUCUGUGACAGUGACACAGAGAGAGACAGAGAGACAGAGAGAGAGAGAGAGAGAGAGAGAGAGAGAGAGAGAGAGAGAGAGAGAGAGAGAGAGAGAGAG